rnacentral:rRNA from 1 species
UACGGGGGGAGCAAGCGUUGUUCGGAUUUACUGGGCGUAAAGGGCGCGUAGGCGGCACCGCAAGUCGACUGUGAAAUCUCCGGGCUUAACCCGGAAAGGUCAGCCGAUACUGCGGGGCUAGAGUGCAGAAGGGGCAACUGGAAUUCUCGGUGUAGCGGUGAAAUGCGUAGAUAUCGAGAGGAACACCUGCGGCGAAGGCGGGUUGCUGGGCUGACACUGACGCUGAGGCGCGAAAGCGUGGGGAGCGAACGGG